GUUAUUGAAGCAAUGUAUUGCACCAAGUUUCGGCCUUGGCCUCUCAGGGUUUCCUGCAAUAAUA
rnacentral:tRNA from 1 species